UACGGAGGGUGCAAGCGUUAUCCGGAUUCACUGGGUUUAAAGGGUGCGUAGAAGGGUAGGUAAGUCAGUGGUGAAAUCUUCGAGCUUAACUCGGAAACUGCCGUUGAUACUAUCUAUCUUGAAUACCGUGGAGGUGAGCGGAAUAUGUCAUGUAGCGGUAAAAUGCUUAGAUAUGACAUAGAACACCAAUUGCGAAGGCAGCUCGCUACACGAAUAUUGACUCUGAGGCACGAAAGCGUGGGGAUCAAACAGG
rnacentral:rRNA from 1 species